rnacentral:lncRNA from 1 species
AUUUCACCCUGAAAGGCUCAUCUUAGAAUGGACAAAUUCAAGGAAUGGGAUCAGGCGCCUGUAGAAGUGGCUGAAGACAGAAGUGUGGCAGUCGAGUACACAGGAUGGGACCAGAGCUGCCAACUACCCAACAGGGGCCAUGUCGAUGCCCUUUUGGAUAUCAGCGAUGAUACCUCAUCCAAAGAGCAGGAGCCAUUUGAGUUUCUCUGUCUCUCCGGAUGGGAGGAAGCUAUCCGGGGCUGGGGUAGAACUACUCCACUUGGCUGCCUGGUUCAGACCCAGAGGAGAGGAAAGAGGGUCAAGACUGGAGACACAGACCACCACUGCCACCUGUGUGUGGACCUCGUGAAGCUCUCGGACCCCCCUGACUCUGAAUCCAGUUUAACCCACUCCCCUGAGUCCUUCUGGGACUCCACCCUGGACCCAUGGGCGAAAACCUCCCCCACAAGCCUGGGAGACUUCCUGAACAGACCCUACAGUCACACCUCUAGCAUCUCUUCAGAGGAGUCCCCACCAGAGUCCUUCAGGGACCUUCAGAAAGCCACACAGCAACUGACACUCCGAGACAAGAUGAUGGAGGACAAGGGUGAGGUGUGUGAGAUCAGUGACUCACUGCUGGGCUUGGCCCCCUCGCAGGGUCACCACCACUCAGCCUCAGAGUGUCCCAUGACGCUGAUCAUCAACAGCUUCGCCGUCCUACCGCCCGUGAAGGCCUCCCAGCCCAGACACCCUAAGGUCACCAGCCAGCUCCGGAGGGGGGAGGCUGGACCGGGACGCAGCGCCUCAGACGGGGAGACCGCAGAGGCUGGGUCAGACGGUGUCACGCCUGCCUGGGAGAGCGGAGGAGGUGUGGAGAGCCAGCAGAGCCGCCACCUGUUGUCUGCAUUCAGCAUCCCUGUCCCCAAGAGAUGUGACAUGCCCCUCAGCACACUGUCAGAUCCUCUACCCCGUGCCACCUACCCCCUGGACAGACACCUCAGACAGGAUCCCCGGACCAGCAGUGCUCAUAGACUCUACUUUGGACUGAAGACUAAGAUUCUGAAGCGUGCAGAGCCACAACUGCCCAUUCUGUUUGGAACCAGGGUGCCCAUCCCAGCCUCUGCACAGAGACUACUCUGA